AGCUUUUUUCAGUGGCAGUAUCAUAGCCAAUGAGGUUUAUCCAAGGCGUGAUUAUUGCUAGGAAAGAAUUAAGUUACAAUUAAAUUACACUAAAAACACAGGAAAUCAACACCCACAAUAAUCACAUCCUAAUUAUUUUACUACAUUUUAUUGU
ensembl:snRNA U4 U4 spliceosomal RNA